CAGCCGCCGCGGUAAAACGGAGGGUGCAAGCGUUAAUCGGAAUUACUGGGCGUAAAGCGCACGCAGGCGGUUUGUUAAGUCAGAUGUGAAAUCCCCGAGCUUAACUUGGGAACUGCAUUUGAAACUGGCAAGCUAGAGUCUUGUAGAGGGGGGUAGAAUUCCAGGUGUAGCGGUGAAACGCGUAGAGAUCUGGAGGAAUACCGGUGGCGAAGGCGGCCCCCUGGACAAAGACUGACGCUCAGGUGCGAAAGCGUGGGGAGCAAACAGGAUUAGAUACCCCAGUAGUCCCUGUCUCUUAUAC
rnacentral:rRNA from 1 species